UGUAUAUAUUUUAGAGAUUCUUACAUUUUUUAGGUAUAUUUUUAUUUCUUAUUUUGAGGACCUUUUUUCCUUUUAUAAGAGUUGCAUGUCACAUUUACCCGACGCAGGUGGUUUUAGUGCAGGUAUUUCUGGAGAGGUUUGAUAGGGUAGGAUCGGCUGGAGCGUACACACACACACACACACACACACACCUAUCUUCCGUCCUUCAUUUUUUGUCAGAGGAACGCAUGUCAAAGAAAUUUGACCCUCUUUGGUGUGUGUGUGUGUGUGUGUGUGUUAGGGCUGCAAAAUACAGACAAAAAGCUAUAGAUGUAAUUUUUAAUGAUUAAUAUAAAUUAAUAAGAAUAACUAUAAUUUCUGUAUUGCUAAAAAUUGAAAGACCUUGCAAUAUAUUCCAAACACGGAUGACCCUUUGACAUGUAAUGUUCAGCGGUUACGCUAUUAUUUUGAGUAACACGGGUGUGUGUGUGCUACUUCAUGUGUUCAUGCUCUGAUUCUCCCUGAAUCUGGAAGACCAGAUGAUGUCCGUGACCUCACAGCGCGCAUACACCAAUCAUUUUUAUAUGUUCAGUGGGGGGAGCCUCCUCCCAUAACUACUGUGACACAAGUUCGACUAAAUUUAAGUCGCCAAAACAAAACAUCCUUAAAAAAGAUUUCAAGUUUGGUGUUUCCGUUGUGUAUUGAGUGACACAUGCGGUCUGAAUUAAAGCUGAGUCUCUUAUUUUGUCAGUCUAA